rnacentral:rRNA from 1 species
GAUGAACGCUAGCGGCAGGCUUAACACAUGCAAGUCGAGGGGUAGAAGAAGCUUGCUUUUUGAGACCGGCGCACGGGUGCGUAACGCGUAUGCAAUCUACCUUGUACAGAGGGAUAGCCCAGAGAAAUUUGGAUUAAUACCUCAUAGUGUAAUUGAAUGGCAUCAUUUGAUUACUAAAGUUCCAACGGUACAAGAUGAGCAUGCGUCCCAUUAGCUAGUUGGUGUGGUAACGGCACACCAAGGCAACGAUGGGUAGGGGUCCUGAGAGGGAGAUCCCCCACACUGGUACUGAGACACGGACCAGACUCCUACGGGUGGCUG